rnacentral:rRNA from 1 species
CCUACGGGUGGCAGCAGUGAGGAAUAUUGGUCAAUGGCCGGAAGGCUGAACCAGCCAAGCCGCGUGAAGGACGAAGGUGCCAAGCAUUGUAAACUUCUUUUGUCAAGGGACAAAAUCAGGCGCGAGAGCCUGACCGAGGGUACGUGAAGAAAAAGCAUCGGCUAACUCCGUGCCAGCAGCCGCGGUAAUACGGAGGAAGCGAGCGUUAUCCGGAUUUGUUGGGUUCACAGGGUGCGUAGGCGGGCUGUUAAGUCAGCGGUAAAAGCCCGGGGCUCAACCCCGGCGGGCCGUGGAAACUGGCUGUCUUGCGCUGUCGCGCGGUAUGCGGAAUGCGCAGUGUAGCGGUGAAAUGCUUAGCUAUUGCGCAGAACUCCGCUUGCGAAGGCAGCAUACCGGCGGCGAUCUGACGCUGAGGCACGAACGCGUGGGUAUCGAACAGGAUUAGAUACCCCUGUAGUC